CCUACGGGUGGCAGCAGUGGGGAAUAUUGGACGAUGGGGGGAACCCUGAUCCAGCCAUGCCGCGUGUGUGAAGAAGGCCCUCGGGUUGUAAAGCACUUUCAGUGAGGAAGAACGCCUGGUGGUUAAUACCCAUCAGGAAAGACAUCACUCACAGAAGAAGCACCGGCUAACUCCGUGCCAGCAGCCGCGGUAAUACGGAGGGUGCGAGCGUUAAUCGGAAUUACUGGGCGUAAAGCGCGCGUAGGUGGCUUGAUAAGCCGGUUGUGAAAGCCCCGGGCUCAACCUGGGAACGGCAUCCGGAACUGUCAAGCUAGAGUGCAGGAGAGGAAGGUAGAAUUCCCGGUGUAGCGGUGAAAUGCGUAGAGAUCGGGAGGAAUACCAGUGGCGAAGGCGGCCUUCUGGACUGACACUGACACUGAGGUGCGAAAGCGUGGGUAGCAAACAGGAUUAGAUACCCCGGUAGUC
rnacentral:rRNA from 1 species